AAUUUAAAAUAAUCUUGUUCGUUUGCGUAUUUCAAGAAUGUUUUGUAACAAGUGCAGCGGUUGGAGACGAAUACAUUCGAAAGAGAUGCAAAAGAAGUAUGAAGUUAUGGCUGCUGCAGUAAAAUUUGUUUGUGUAUUUCGAGAUCAUGAGAAAUGUGAAACGAAGCUUUGUUGUUGAUCUAAAUCAAUGUGUUAGUGAAGUAAAGGAUUGCAGUCAACAGACUGCGUAAGAGCGAAGGUCGUUUGGGGGGUGAUAACAAUGCGGACUUUUCGUCGACUCAGAUGUCUUUAUGUUCCAGCACGAAAGGUUACUAAAUUUUUGGCAGAUUCGGAUCGGACCAUCGUUAUGACGCAGCGAAGCAUAUUGUUUCUUGCCGGCGAUUUGCAUUAUGCCAUUCAGGCUAGGCAUGCUGCCCUGGCUGGGACUACGCGAUGGUUGUUUUAGAUCCAGAGCGCUUUUCUGAUUUUGUCCUGAAAAAGUGAUAUUGGAAUAAGGGUGAACGAAAUUUGCUUAAACGAAUGGACAAAAAUAUAAUAAAAUAAAACAGUGCGGCGCACUCCAGGAUAGAAAACCUCAAGCAAGGACUUCCAAAGCUCGAUCAGUAUAACGAAAAUAUCAGUCUUUGGCAAAUAUGAUGUCGUAGCAGUGGAAAUGAGGAUAUAUGGUCGAUAGCCGUUCCAAAAAUAAGAAGCACAUCCAUAGCUUUACUGAUAAUGCUAACGUUCUCUGGCUGAGCCAAACCUCGCCAUCGAAACCAAUAUCAAAUUUCCACACAUACGGCAGGCGAUUUGUGGCUUCCGAACGAAAUCAUGCAUUUUGGUUGCUUUUCUCUUCUGGAAACGGGAAGAAUUGUAGCCAACUGCUGAGUAAGAAUGAGUCAUAAGCUCCUGUUUUUAUGAUUGUUCUCAAGAAACUUCCACAACUGCAGCGAUGGAAUUUGUAUGUAUGUAUGUAUAUUUGGAGGCCAUGAGAAAAGUGAAACCAAGCUUUGUUGUUGAUCUAAAUCAGUGGGCUUGUGAACUUAAAGAUUGCUACCAGCUGCUGCGUAAGAAUGUGUCAUGAGCGCCUAGUGGACGAUUGGAGAUAUCAGGGAAAUUUGUAAUUUUUAUUUCAGGGAAGAAGAAGAAGGAUUUUAUGUGAUAUAUAUAAUAUUAUAAAUAAAUUUAAUUUUUAUUUUUACAAUUGAGGAGAUAAAAUAAAAAAAAAUCAACUAAUUAAUAAACAAUUUAAAUCAUAAG